rnacentral:misc_RNA from 1 species
GAUGAAGAACGUAGCGAAAUGCGAUAAGUAAUGUGAAUUGCAGAAUUCAGUGAAUCAUCGAAUCUUUGAACGCACAUUGCGCCCUCUGGUAUUCCGGGGGGCAUGCCUGUUCGAGCGUCAUUAUAACCACUCAAGCUCUCGCUUGGUAUUGGAGUUCGCGAUCUCGCGGCUCCUAAAAUCAGUGGCGGUGCCUGUCGGCUCUACGCGUAGUAAUACUCCUCGCGAUUGAGUCCGGUAGGUUUACUUGCCAGCAACCCCCAAUUUUUACAGGUUGACCUCGGAUCAGGUAGGGAUACCCGCUGAAAUUAAGCAUAUCAAUAAGCGGAGGA